rnacentral:rRNA from 1 species
GGGUUCGAUUAUGGCUCAGGAUGAACGCUGGCGGCGUGCUUAACACAUGCAAGUCGAACGAACCUUCGGGUUAGUGGCGGACGGGUGAGUAACGCGUGAGAAUCUGCCCUCAGGAGGGGGAUAACGGUUGGAAACGACCGCUAAUACCCCAUAUGCCGCGAGGUGAAAUGAAUUUCGCCUGAGGAUGAGCUCGCGUCUGAUUAGUUAGUUGGUGGGGUAAAGGCCUACCAAGACAUCGAUCAGUAGCUGGUCUGAGAGGAUGAUCAGCCACACUGGGACUGAGACACGGCCCAGACUCCUACGGGAGGCAGCAGUGGGGAAUUUUCCGCAAUGGGCGAAAGCCUGACGGAGCAACGCCGCGUGAGGGAUGAAGGCCUCUGGGCUGUAAACCUCUUUUAUCAAGGAAGAAGAUCUGACGGUU